AGAGUUUGAUCCUGGCUCAGGAUGAACGCUAGCGGCAGGCUUAAUACAUGCAAGGCGAGGGGGCAGCAAUGUCACCGUCGUACGGGUGCGUAACGCGUAUGCAACCUACCUAUCACUGGGGGAUAGCCCGGGGAAACCCGGAUUAAUACCGCAUAACACAGGGGUCCCGCAUGGGUACUAUUUGUUAAAGAUUUAUCGGUGGUAGAUGGGCAUGCGUUCGAUUAGCUAGUUGGUGCGGGUAACGGCCUACCAAGGCGACGAUCGAUAGGGGAGCUGAGAGGUUGAUCCCCCACACGGGCACUGAGAUACGGGCCCGACUCCUACGGGAGGCAGCAGUAGGGAAUAUUGGGCAAUGGAUGCAAGUCUGACCCAGCCAUGCCGCGUGCCGGAUGAAGGCCCUCAGGGUUGUAAACGGCUUUUAUUCGGGAAGAAGAGCGAGGGUGCGCCCUUGUGUGACGGUACCGAAUGAAUAAGCACCGGCUAACUCCGUGCCAGCAGCCGCGGUAAUACGGAGGGUGCGAGCGUUGUCCGGAUUUAUUGGGUUUAAAGGGUGCGUAGGUGGCUUUAUAAGUCAGUGGUGAAAUACAGCCGCUUAACGGUUGAGGUGCCAUUGAUACUGUAGAGCUUGAAACAAUUGGAGGCUGCCGGAAUGGAUGGUGUAGCGGUGAAAUGCAUAGAUAUCAUCCAGAACACCGAUUGCGAAGGCAGGUGGCUACGUUUGAUUUGACACUGAGGCACGAAAGCAUGGGGAGCAAACAGGAUUAGAUACCCUAGUAGUCC
rnacentral:rRNA from 1 species